rnacentral:rRNA from 1 species
UACUGACCCGCUAGCCCGACCUAAACCAAGAACAACAAGACAUAAUAACUAAACCCAAAGACAUUAACAUUCUACACAAACAAACCAUUUUUCCCCCUUAGUAUGGGCGACAGAAAAGAAACUACGGAGCGAUAGAGAAAGUACCGCAAGGGAAUGCUGAAAAACUAAAUGAAAUAAACAAGUGAAGCCUGAAAAAGCAGAGAUUUUAACUCGUACCUUUUGCAUCAUGAUUUAGCCAGUGCAACUCAAGCAAAGGGCACUUUAGUUUGAUAACCCGAAACUUAGUGAGCUACUCCAAGGCAACCUAAUCAAUAGGGCCAACCCGUCUCUGUGGCAAAAGAGUGGGAAGACCUUCGAGUAGAGGUGAUAGACCUACCGAACUUAGUAAUAGCUGGUUGCCCAAGAACUGGAUAGGAGUUCAGCCUCCCGGCUUCUUUCUUCUCCAACCCCUUCUGUUUCAACAGAUAAUCAUAAGAAACCGAGAGAGUUAAUCUAAGGGGGUACAGCCCCUUAGACACAAGAUACAACUUUUAUAGGAGGAUAAAGAUCAUACUUAAUUAAGGCAGUAUUUUAGGGUGGGCCUAAAAGCAGCCAUCCCGUCAAAAAGCGUUAAAGCUCAAACACAUUAUUUUUACAAGCCUCAAGUUUCGACCAUUUAUUCUUACUCCCCUUAUCCUACUGGGCCAUCCCAUGCAAGCAUGGGAGUGAUCCUGCUAAAAUCAGUAUAUGAGAGAGCCUAAGGGCUCUCUCCCUGCAUAUGUGUAAAUCGGAAACGGACAACCCACCGAGCCUUAACGGACCCAACAAUAGAGGGAACUGAACCACAGAUAAGACAACCAGAAAAACACCCAAACAGAUAACCGUUACCCCUACACAGGCAUGCUCUUAGGGAAAGACUAAAAGAAAGAGAAGGAACUCGGCAAACACACUCAGCCUCGCCUGUUUACCAAAAACAUCGCCUCUUGCUAAACCGAAAGUAUAAGAGGUCCCGCCUGCCCUGUGACUAUAUGUUUAACGGCCGCGGUAUUUUGACCGUGCGAAGGUAGCGCAAUCACUUGUCUUUUAAAUGGGGACCUGUAUGAAUGGCAUAACGAGGGCUUGACUGUCUCCUCUUUCAAGUCAAUGAAAUUGAUCUCCCCGUGCAGAAGCGGGGAUGAAUACAUAAGACGAGAAGACCCUAUGGAGCUUUAGACACUAAAGCAGAUCAUCAUCAACAUCCCCGACAACAGGAAACUAAACCAACUGAACCCUGCCCUAUUGUCUUUGGUUGGGGCGACCGCGGAGAAAUAAAAAACCCCCGCAAGGACCGAAUGUACAACAUUCACAACCAAGAGCGACAGCUCUAAUUAACAGAACAUCUGACCAAUAAGACCCGGCAAUGCCGAUCAAUGAACCGAGUUACCCUAGGGAUAACAGCGCAAUCUCCUCUUAGAGUCCCUAUCGACGAGGAGGUUUACGACCUCGAUGUUGGAUCAGGACAUCCUAAUGGUGCAGCCGCUAUUAAGGGUUCGUUUGUUCAACGAUUAAAGUCCUACGUGAUCUGAGUUCAGACCGGAGCAAUCCAGGUCGGUUUCUAUCUAUGAUACAAUCUUUUCUAGUACGAAAGGACCGAAAAGAGGGGGCCCAUGUCCAAAACAUGCCUCCCCCCCACCUAAUGAAAGCAACUUAAUCAGGUAAGGGGGCGUCAAUCCCUUUGCCUGAGAAAACGGCAU